UAACAGAGGAGUUCAAAUGUGCUAAAGCUGGAUUGGAGGUAGCACUGUAAGAAUCCAGGGACAGAGCAGUGCAGAAUGCAACACCAUCAGUCCCAACAGGGAGGAAGUGGAACCUGAAAGAGGCAGCUUUGAUACAUGCAGCAUGUUUGGCUCCUACUUCCUGGUGUUAGCAUGAGCAGGCUAACACGAGGACACAGACUUUUGACUGGUUUGUUGGAAUGAAUGCCAACACAGGGUUGGCUCUGAUGCAGCACAAAAGGAAGCAGAAGUUUGUCUAGUUUUAUGGCCACCGAAUGAUGGACAUCUGAGGGCAUCAGUGUAGUCGACAAGAACGUGGGAUUCCAUGCACCAUGUAGAUAGUCUUGGGUGUAUUGUGAGAAGGACCAGCAGUGUUCCGGGUCUCUGUCGCUCCUAUACAUCGACACCAAUCGCAAGUUGAUAGGUUCUGUUUCUUGAAACAGUCAUUGAGGAGGCAUCCACAGCUCUGGAGUCCCAGACACACUACUUUCCAUCCAGGUGCCAUUGUUGUUGAAUCAUAUCUCCUAUUUUGUAGCAAAAGGUUAUACAAUUCUCUAAAACAUCUAAUCAUUCUUCAUAGUAGUCGUUCCUGCAUUUCAGGCUGCCUGUAGGUUUGCAGUCAUUUUAAGGGCAAUUUCAAAACCAACUUUAGUAGUGUCCCCAACCAAAGGAACUCUUACAAUGAGCAAUUCUACCUGCUUUUAUAAUGACUUUGCUUGCUUCAGUGGAAUGUCCUCCACUUUUUUGUUUUUAUUUACUUGAUGUUAAGGUACAAAUUAAAGUGUGAUAUGGACCAAACGCUAACAGAACAGAGCAUAUAUUUAUAUAUUUACCAAAGCCAGGUGAUUAUCCUCUUAAUGGCAUUUUUAAUAUGUGAUAAACAAUUAUGAAUAUUGCACUGCUGAGAGUGUGCUGCUGAAGUCUACUUGCUACUACUAGCAACCUAAGGUAAAUACUCAACAUUCUCACAUGACUGAGAUGACCUAUCUUAAAUAGUUUGCCCAACUGGGCAAUG